rnacentral:lncRNA from 1 species
AACAAAACGAUUUGGCAAACUUUAAGAGUCAUAAGUUUUGCUUGUUUUUGUACUUCAAAUAUGAAUUUUUUUUCAUAUUGGUGAAUAAAAAGAAGCUGCAAUAAAAAGUCAAAAAUGUAGUGAUAAGAAGGUGGCGGAGCAAGAAAUUGGACGAUGGUUGAGGAGAGCCGGGGAUCGCUUAAAAACUUUCAAGGAAAAGGAAUCAGAAUAAAAAUUGAAUUUAUUUAUUUUUUAAAUAAUAAAGAUAUAUUCACCUA